rnacentral:rRNA from 1 species
CGCAAGCCUGACGGAGCAACGCCGCGUGAGGGAGGAAGGCCUGUGGGUUGUAAACCUCUUUUCUCAGGGAAGAAGCUCUGACGGUACCUGAGGAAUCAGCAUCGGCUAACUCCGUGCCAGCAGCCGCGGUAAGACGGAGGAUGCAAGCGUUAUCCGGAAUUAUUGGGCGUAAAGCGUCCGCAGGUGGCUAGUCAAGUCUGCUGUCAAAGACCAGGGCUUAACCCUGGGCCGGCAGUGGAAACUGGUUAGCUGGAGUACGGUAGGGGUAGAGGGAAUUCCUGGUGUAGCGGUGAAAUGCGUAGAUAUCAGGAAGAACACCGGUGGCGAAAGCGCUCUACUGGGCCGUGACUGACACUGAGGGACGAAAGCUAGGGGAGCG